CGUGGCGGCCCAGGCCCACGCCAAGGUUUGUGCCCGGCCCAGCCAGCGUGAAGUUUGAAACGGAGACCUCUGCCGGAAGGAGCGGGUCAUUGGCAGGACAGCGGUUUGGCCUCCUUCCCCUCCGCCCUUGCACAGCCUGGGGCGGUGAGGAGGGAGAACAUGCAGAAGAGAAACAGAGUCGGUGGAUGUGGGCGAGAAGAAACCUGACAACUCACCUGUUUCCUGUUUCAGUUGAGCCAAGAUGGAAGUGAGGGGCUUGUCGGGCUCCAAGCCCAGGGAAUGUCACUGCCCAUAGCUACAGUGUCUCUUCGAAUCUCAAUGAACUAAUCAAGAUAGUGUCUCACAGGCUCAGCCAGAGACUAAUCUCACUCAGACGGCCUUCAUAGAUGUUCUCGUAGGUCUGACUACUAAGUCGUUCUAGAUGCCAUCCUCUUGACAGUUGAUACUGAUGAUCACACUGUGGGUAAAGAUCUAAGCUCAGUUUCUGAGACAUCAGAAGGAUGGGGGAGACACUACUGUGACUGACAAGCAGCCUCGGGAAAAGAGUCAGCUGAAUGAAGACUACAGGGAGGAUAUUCUACCUACAGAGGAAAACCUGAUGCAGUAUCAAAGGAGAUGUC
ensembl:processed_transcript 4930412C18Rik RIKEN cDNA 4930412C18 gene